GGAUUCCCCUAGUAACUGCGAGUGAAGCGGGAAAAGCUCAAAUUUGAAAUCUGGCGGUCUUUGGCCGUCCGAGUUGUAGUCUGGAGAAGCGCUUUCCGCGCCGGACCGUGUACAAGUCCUCUGGAACGGGGCGUCGUAGAGGGUGAGAAUCCCGUCUUUGACACGGACCGCCGGUGCUUUGUGAUGCGCUCUCGAAGAGUCGAGUUGUUUGGGAAUGCAGCUCAAAACGGGUGGUGAAUUCCAUCUAAAGCUAAAUAUUGGCGAGAGACCGAUAGCGAACAAGUACCGUGAGGGAAAGAUGAAAAGCACUUUGGAAAGAGAGUUAAACAGUACGUGAAAUUGUUGAAAGGGAAACGCUUGAAGUCAGUCGCGUCGUUCGGAAUUCAGCCUUGCGAUCUCGCUCGGUGUACUUUCCGGUUCGACGGGCCAGCAUCGAUUUCGAUCGUCGGACAAAGGCGGGGAAACGUGGCACCUUACCGGGUGUGUUAUAGUCCCUCGUCGGUAUACGGUGGUCCGGGAUCGAGGAACUCGGCACGCCUUCGUGGUCCGGGGCUUUCGGCCACGUCUUCGUGCUUUAGGAUGCUGGCCGUAAUGGCUUUAAACGACCCGUCUUGAAACACGGACCAAGGAGUCUAACAUGUCUGCGAGUGUUUGGGUGGAAACCCGAGCGCGUAAUGAAAGUGAUGGCUGGAACCCCUUUGGAAGGCACCGGCGCCCGAGCUGACCUUCUGUGACGCAUCGGAGGCAGAGCAUACAUGUUGGGACCCGAAAGAUGGUGAACUAUGCCUGAAUAGGGCGAAGCCAGAGGAAACUCUGGUGGAGGCUCGUAGCGAUUCUGACGUGCAAAUCGAUCGUCAAAUUUGGGUAUACGGGGCGAAAGACUAACGAACCAU
rnacentral:rRNA from 1 species